rnacentral:rRNA from 1 species
UACGAAGGGGGCUAGCGUUGCUCGGAAUCACUGGGCGUAAAGGGUGCGUAGGCGGGUCUUUAAGUCAGGGGUGAAAUCCUGGAGCUCAACUCCAGAACUGCCUUUGAUACUGAAGAUCUUGAGUUCGGGAGAGGUGAGUGGAACUGCGAGUGUAGAGGUGAAAUUCGUAGAUAUUCGCAAGAACACCAGUGGCGAAGGCGGCUCACUGGCCCGAUACUGACGCUGAGGCACGAAGCGUGGGAGCAAACAGGG